GACGAACGCUGGCGGCGUGCCUAAUACAUGCAAGUAGAACGCAGUUGCGAACGGGUGAGUAACGCGUAGGUAACUGCCUCAUAGCGGGGGAUAACUAUUGGAAACGAUAGCUAAUACCACAUACUGUGAGAUGGACCUGCGUUGUAUUAGCUAGUUGGUGAGGUAAAGGCCCACCAAGGCGACGAAACAUAGCCGACCUGAGAGGGGGGCGGGGCAAACUGGGACUUGAACCCGGCCCAGGCUCCUACGGGAGGCAGCAUUAGGGAAUCUUUGGGAAAGGAGGGAAGGCUGACCGGGGAACGCCGCGGGGGUGAAGAAGGUUUUCGGAUCGUAAAGCCCGGUUGUUAGAGAAGCGGUACCUAACCAGAAAGGGACGGCUAACUACGUGCCAGCAGCCGCGGUAAUAC
rnacentral:rRNA from 1 species